UGAAACCAACAUUUGGUAUCAGAGCUAGGUUGAAUAACGAGAGUGCCGGUUUGAGAGUCAAUUUCGAGAAAGGAGGCAGCCCUUGGUUGUAGGGCUGAUGUCAAAGAAGAAGCAGGGGAGAUUUCAUGUUAGGAGAUCGCGACAUAGAAGAAAGAAUGCUGAUCGAGAUCAGCAAGAAAGAAAGUCAGAUUCAAAUCUUUGAAUCCUUAUGAAAGAAAGAAGAGCCACCACAAGAAAGAAGAAAGAGGCCGGCGUCGUUUAGCGAGAAAUAAAGGCCUCACAAGAAAGAAAGAAAGAAAGAAGAACAGCUGUUUGAAAUCAGCGAAGAAAGAAGAAAGUCGCAACGAUCGGUGUGAGAAAGAAAGAGUCGUCGCCAAUCGGAAAGGACAAAGAAUGAUUGUGAAAGAAAGAAGCAGAAAGAAAUUGUGAUUUCAGUCUAUCGCAAGAAAGAAAGAAACUUGAAAGAAAGACCGAAGAACUCACCGGUGACAAGGAAGAACAGGUGUCGAUGAGAAAGAAGAAAGAAAACCCGACAACCGAAGAAAGAAAACCGAAAGUUAACAAGACCCGACCCGUGUGGUUCGUAGCAAGAUCGGACGUUGUCUUUGAAUAGCAAGCCGGCAAGAACGGAUUCAAAUAAAGCAUGCAAGAGUGACUCAAAUCAAGCAAGAAAACCGAUUCAAAUUUUAGCAUGGAAAGCAAAAACGAAUGCAAGCAAAAAUUGAGAAAGUAGAAAGAACCGAAUCAAGAUUAAGGGGGUGAAUGUUGGGUUUAAUCUUGAUUAUGGAUCAAGUACGGUUUACAGGUAAAAGGGUCAGAUUUUGUUACGUGAAAUUGUUGAGUAAAUUGGAGAAUCAUGGUGCAUGAAGUUACGUGGUUUGUUUUAACAAUUUAGCUUGUGUUUCUUUUGCUUGUUUAAUAUGAAUAGUUAGUUGGGUAGUUCAUUAAAUGUACCUCAUUUUCAUGUGCGUAGAACAAAAGUGUUU
rnacentral:lncRNA from 1 species